rnacentral:rRNA from 1 species
GGAAACAGAUGCUAAUACCGGAUAAAAGCUACUUUCGCAUGAAAGAAGUUUAAAAGGCGGCGUAAGCUGUCGCUAAAGGAUGGACCUGCGAUGCAUUAGCUAGUUGGUAAGGUAACGGCUUACCAAGGCGAUGAUGCAUAGCCGAGUUGAGAGACUGAUCGGCCACAUUGGGACUGAGACACGGCCAAACUCCUACGGGAGGCAGCAGCC